GACGAACGCUGGCGGCGUGCCUAAUACAUGCAAGUAGAACGCUGAAGGAGGAGCUUGCUUCUCUGGAUGAGUUGCGAACGGGUGAGUAACGCGUAGGUAACCUGCCUGGUAGCGGGGGAUAACUAUUGGAAACGAUAGCUAAUACCGCAUAAGAGUAGAUGCUGCAUGACAUUUGCUUAAAAGGUGCAAUUGCAUCACUACCAGAUGGACCUGCGUUGUAUUAGCUAGUUGGUGGGGUAACGGCUCACCAAGGCGACGAUACAUAGCCGACCUGAGAGGGUGAUCGGCCACACUGGGACUGAGACACGGCCCAGACUCCUACGGGAGGCAGCAGUAGGGAAUCUUCGGCAAUGGACGGAAGUCUGACCGAGCAACGCCGCGUGAGUGAAGAAGGUUUUCGGAUCGUAAAGCUCUGUUGUAAGAGAAGAACGAGUGUGAGAGUGGAAAGUUCACACUGUGACGGUAUCUUACCAGAAAGGGACGGCUAACUACGUG
rnacentral:rRNA from 1 species